rnacentral:rRNA from 1 species
CAAUAGCGUAUAUUAAAGUUGUUGCGGUAAAAGCUCGUAGUUGGAUUUCUGUUGAGGACGACCGGUCCACACCACGUGUGCGCAUCUGGCUCGGUCUCGGCAUCCUCUCGAUAGACGUUUCUGCGUUUGAUUGCGUGGUGCGGAUUUCGGGACUUUUACUUUGAGGAAAUUAGAGUGUUCACGGCAGGCUAUCGCCAGAAUACGUUAGCAUGGAAUAAUACUAUAGGAUCUCGGUUCUAUUUUGUUGGUUUCUAGAAGCGAGGUAAUGAUUAAUAGGGACAAUUGGGGGCAUUUGUAUCAACACGUCAGAGGUGGAAUUCUUGGAUUGUGUUGCGACAAACUACUGCGAAAGCAUUUGCCAAGGAUGUUUUCAUUGAUCAAGAACGAAAGUAAGGGGAUCGAAGACGAUUAGAUACCAU